rnacentral:lncRNA from 1 species
UCAGAUUGAUUGGUGAAAAGACCUACCUGAAUCAUAACAUGGAAGUUAUCCUUCGUCGUCGUACAUGACAUAUUCAUAUGGUCAGUUCUUGAUAUCAUUUUCAAUAAUAUGUAUGUCACUAUAGGCUUGUCUGUAGCCUGUGUAACAUUAGCGUAACCAUAGGUAAUCAUUUUUUUUUCUUUUCAGAAACACUGAUUACAACGUAGACACACACGCUCACAUCACCCCCCGACCCACCCACACACACACAUCGCAUAUUGAAGACCAGGUCGGAGUUGUUGAGUUUCAAAACUGGUGAAGUCACCAUGGGUGUCUCGCUAUCGACGGGAACGUCACCUCUCACUGAAAGGAUAAUCCGCAUUUAUGAAACAACAAAGAGUCAAAUGUCCUGAUGAGCUGCAGGUACCACCAUCCUACUAACAAUGCAACCGGCGGUUCGUUCUCGUAGGUACUCUGAUUGUAGUAGCUACUGUUCCAAGGUACAAGCACACAGUUAAAAUUGUACUGCUUGAAAAAUGGGAAAUUAACCCACAGCAAAAAUUAUGAUGACCAUAGUGUACCAGAUUGUUUUCAGUAAUACCAUCUGAUCAAAGAUGACAAUUAUGUUCCGCAUCUGGCACACAUUUGACUUCACCGGUACUUGACCUGAAGCAAAUAAGAAGAAAACAGAUAUGUCAGAUGUAGAAAUAGGAAAUUGUUACAAUUAAUUUUUAUUUUUAAAAUUUGUAUUGUUGUGUAACCAGGAAACAAGUUAAAUAAAGAUAACCAAAGAAAUUUGCCUUGGAGUUGCAUUCAGAUAUUCAGAGAAUUUACAGAUGAGGAGGUCCAGAUCGAAAUAGCAGACUCUCACACUAGAAACUGGUACACACACGCCCGUCAUUUUCUUUCCAAGGUUAACACCAACCAUCCAUGCGUUCUUAUCAUCACGUGUCAGUUUAGACAUCAUGUAAACAACAUCCUCGCUGUCCAUGCCUAGGAUGGGGUAAGAUAAACACAGGUUCCUUGGUGACAAUCUUCCAGCCGCGGCGUCCCAGGGCUGUGGGAGCAACAUAUAAGCCGAGAUGCCAUGGAUAUCAACAGGGUGCCCCUUGCGCCAAUAGUUCCAGGUGGUAUGCCUAGUACAUGUUCGGAGCUUCCAACGAACACGGGCAGCAAAUAGUCUCACGGGACUGGCACAUGCAUUCUCAUUGUGGAAGAGCAGAUCAGAAUCAUGGAUGAUAUCGUUGAUGCUGUCAAGAUUAUCCUCUGUUGUGUGGCUGCUCUUUUUAGUAAUAGCUUCCAGCUCGACAAACUUGAUGAAACCAUUGGAGCAGGUGACAUCCCGGACAAGCUGUGGGCUAGUAGCCCGUUGCUCAUUACAAUAUGCAAGCAUGGGUAUCGGGAUGAAACUUAGAACAGGGUUCUUGUCAAACACAUUGCAGGUGAGAAUGCCACUCCAGAGGUCGAUCCAGCCGACAGCACCUCCUCCAAGCGCGACCACCUUGUUGAGAAAAGGGCCCGGCAGGUUCUCUUUCCUCACCCCAGGAUAUGGUUGCAACCGUAACGGUGUAAUUGCCCACUUGCCUGUCUUGGAGGAGAAGACAUGAAGAUCGUAGUCUGGUGGGAGGUUCGUCAUGCAGAGAUCUGCGAGGACAAAUCCCCCGUCAUCGUCGUCCAGGGGCAAGAUGCACACGUGGAACGAGUUUCUGUUUCUGGUGCCCGGCGGGAUCGGUGUGAGCGACGGCUUGCCGUAGUCGGCCUUGUAGACGAAGUACUCGUCGAGGAAAGAUCCCCGACGGUUUCUCCCGGGACUGAAGCAGAGGAGCACGAGGUCCUUGGCCGAGAAGACGACCCGGGGCUCGGUCGUUAGGUCGUCGCGCUGGAACUCGGGGCCAUGGACACAGAAGUGGGAGAUGGCCGGCGGGUCGGCGAGGCAGAAGGUAACUUUGAAUGCGUUGCCUGUGCUGGUGACGGCUUCGGCGGUGGUGGCGUUCUCGCGGACGGCAAAGUAGGCCUUCUUGUCGAGGAGAACCCAGGGGGCGUAGCGGGCGCUGGCACGGAUGACCACGGGGGGCUGGAAGGAGGGGGCGAGGAAGUAUCCGUCGUCCAUGGUUGCUAGUCAGCAGAUUGGGAACGGAAACAUCAAACCGUGAAUUUUGUAGGAUGCUUUUUAGGGUUGGGAAACACGUCCCUUCAGACGUCCGAUGUGAAAACGCUCAUCUUUGAAGAAAUCAGUCGCGUCCACGAAUCCAGUGGGACCAGGCACCGCUGCUCUUUCUCCUCACGCGAGUCCCACGUGUUGACCUCUUCUAUCUGUAUCUCUAUCUCCGAUGAAUCUCGGCGGCAGUUAUCUCGAUCUCCCUUAAAUCCGGCGAGAGGCACUGGAGACUCGCAGCAGCUCCUCUCCAAUUGCAGCCACCGCGCCGCCAUUGCAGCACCGAGCAGCGCCGCUUGGGUCGCCCCCAUCUGCUCUAGUUUCCAGCCCCGCGCCAUCUUGCAGCAGCACCGCCGCUGCGGCCGGUCGCCCCCUCACAGCACCAUGAUUUGUUCCACCCUGCAGCACCGCCACUGAUCAGUGAUCACGGCAGUGACGUCUGCACUGGACGACCUAUGGCAACGCAGCAUCGCCAACACCCACCGGAUCAGCAGUGGACAGCGUGCUGCAACGAAGCACCGCCGUUCGUCGCAGCCGCGACUGAACCGGACCACCUGCUGCAAAGCAGCACCGCCAUCGAGGCAUGGCAGCAGCACUGCCGUCUCCACCCGACCACCUGCUGCAAAGCAGCAUUGCCGUCUGACACGUGGCAGCGGCACCACCCGUGUGCAGCCAACCACCUGCUGCAAAGCAGCACCGCCGUUGGGCUGCAGCAGACCACCUGCUGCAAAGCAGCACUGCCGUCGUUGCAUGGCAGCGGCGGCCGGGGGGUUAUAGUAUCGGAGCUCGCCUUCAGCAGAGUGUCGCCCCUGGAAGCUGGCUUUGCAACGCCGGUGCCGUUUUUGCAAGAGCGUGGCAGCGGUGCUACGAUGAAGCUCGAUGGUGGCAGCAAAAAGUGUUGCAUGGUGCUAUCUUUUUCGUUCCUCGACAUGCUGUUCUUUUUCUUCCUUUUGGCAAUGCGGGGUGCAUGCAGGAGUAGCUGCUUGAGAUGAAGAUGACUGGUGUGAUCCAAUGGCCAUACAACACCUGAUCCAACGGCCCACGAGGCGGUCGAUUUUUUGCCACGCGGCAGUCGGAUGACGCCUAGCAGUGGCCUUUAAAGCAUUCGUUAGAGCACUCAUAUGACGUUGAUUCAUUGCCGUUGAUUUGUUUUUAUCUCACGGUGGAGAGAUGCGUCUCAAAAUCAUCCGCGAGAAGCCUGCUGCAAACUGCCCGAUUUUGAACCGAACUACAAGAGACUCUGCCUCCUUAGAACCUUCUCAUCAUUCCCUCUCGUGGCGAUGGGCGUUCUCGGCUGAGGCUAUGAUCUGCCGUGAUUCAGAGUGACAUCGGAGCAACCCCGAGUUCGCUGCUCACUCCUGGUCGCGGGUGACAAGGUGAGUUUGGGGGGCGUUUGGCGGCGUUGCGGGUUAUGCCAUGGAGGCUGUGUCCACCCCUCGCUUGGCAAUGGUGGCAGCGGACAAGGAGAACAAUCUGGCAGGUGGGACUGGCAGUGUCCCAUCUGAAGCGGAAGAGAAUAUGGCAAAAUUAAUGGAGAAGCUCAAUCUCACAUAUGAAGAAGCCACAACAGUCAUCUUGGAGGACGAAAAUGAGGAAGAUUAGGUGUCCUUGGAGUGGGCAAUCAUAGGAAAGGUACUAUCCCCAAACACUCUCCAUAUUCAGACGAUUAUGGCGGCACUGAGGCCACCUUGCAGAAAUCCUAAAGGCAUAAAUCCUAGAUCUACUGGAGACAAUAUGUUCAUUGUUGAGUUUGCAACUAAGACAUAUGAAGAUGUGAGUCGAAGUCGGAGCUCCCUGGCCUAUUGGCAAGCAUGCAGUGCUCAUUAACAAUUUUGAUGCUAGACAGAGACCAUCAGAUUAAUUGUUUGGGCUAUAAAACACCCAAGAUUUGAACUGAUGAAAGCUAGAAACAGUGGAGACUGCUGAUGUGGAUAGCUAGGGUAGAGCUUCGGGGGACUGUCUACAAGUCAGAGUAACCGUGGAUAUCUCCAAACCUCUGUUAACAGUGGCGGAUCUACCAUUGGGGCGAGCGGGGGCGGCCGCCCCGGGUCGCCUGCGGCGGAGCAGCGACCCCCGCCUACCUACCCUUCCUCUGCUCCUCCCAAUUUCCUCCGGUGGCGGGCAGUUUUCAUGGCGGCGCGGAUGUUUCCUGUUUCCUAUUUCUGCGAAGCCGUACGCGAGGCCGUGAGGAUGACCGGGUGAGGGAGAAAAAGAAGAUUGGGCUGGGCUGCAGCGUUUGCACAAUUGCACUUAAGGCCCAAAGACCACAAGCACGCUGCCGGCCACCAAUACACAUCCAGCCCCAAUCGAUCCCCGAGCACUAGCCACUCACUGCUGCGUCGCCCCACUACUGUGCAACAUAUCUCUUGUGUAUUUUGAUUUGUUCUACUCUUUGGCUCAUACCCUUACUGAAUACUGAAUACUUAAUCAGUGUAUGAAUUAUAGUGCCAAGUGCCAACACCGCUCUAGGCUAAGCUAUGUCGCAAUUGAUCAAGUGCUGGCAACAAAGUGCUUUGUCUGGUUAAUUCUAGUAAAAUGAGCAGACACGUUACAUCCAGGUAUUAUCAAUACUGUAUUGUUGUAUGCAACAUUUAAAAUAGCUUCUGAUGCUAAAGUUGCACUUUCGAUGUCAUACCACCAAGAAUCGUGGUAGAUCAAGUGCAAUCACAUGAUGAAGUCAUAUCUUAUUGGCUUUUGAAAGAACAUGACAUGCCAAGACAUCGAACACAAAAUGCAUGGAGCGACAAGUGUCCAUGUUAUCAGUGGUUUCUAAUAACUUUUUAUGCCUUUUCAUGACUUUAGUAGUUGAAUGCCAUGACUUUUGGUUCAGUACACGUGUAUUUGCAUCCAAAAAAAUUGACCUUAAAUAUUCGCCCCGGCUAGCUUCAAUUCCUGGGUCCGCCACUGUCUGUUAAGGUGGGUUACAGCUUAUAUUCCAAAAAGCACCAAGAAUAUGACACUUAUGAGGUAGUGUAUGAGAGGCUUCCACAUUACUGCUUCCCAUGUGUCUUGCUGGGACACUCUUCUAUGGAAUGCCCAACACCAGGUGAGAGGGAUGCUGGGUAAGCUCCCUGUGUGUAAAUGAUGAUAAGAAGAAGAGCUUUUCAGGUUCCAGAUCAACGCAAAGUUCACAAUCAAGUGGCAGAUGUUCACACUGUGAUGACGAAAAAGGGGGAUCCCACCCCUCUGCUAAAGCCAAUAUUGUCGAACCAAAAGCUGAUGAAUUGCAAGAGAGAAACGUAGUCACGUCUCCCAUGAAGCUGAAGAUGCAGAAUCAAAAAAUAAAUAAUAAGGUGGAACAGGGCACGGCGAGUAAGGAACCUUUUACUUCAGUGUCUACAGAUAUACGUGUUGCUGGGCAAAAAAGGAAGCAAACAAAGGUAUAUAGACCCAAAGGGACAGCCACAAACACAGAACUGAAGAUGAAGCUAGACAACAACAGUAAGGCCAUUGUCUUGGGUGGAAACAAUCUGAAUACAAGCGAUCUAGGUACAACUUUGUGUCAGAUGUAUGAAGAAGGGAACAAUGAUUCUUAUAAGAAGCAGAAGACGGAACUCAACCUUAUUCCCUUGAGAUCAGCGGAUCAGGCGGAGGCUGCAGUGGAGCAGCCCCGCCAUACGCAAUGAAUCUGCUCUGUUGGAACUGUCCUGGUGUCACCUGCAUCAAGCGGCUAGAGUAAAAUUUAGGGCACCAAAAGGUGUUUUUCUUGUCACAAAAAAGUGGCAUCUCCAACAGCUACCCUAAAAUAGGGCACUGAAACAUUGAAACUUCUUUUUUUUGCAACUACAAACUUUGGUUCAAACUUACAAAGAUGCAAACAAACUACUACAAAACAUCCAAACAUCGUCUCAGUCACCGUCGGUACCCUCACUUUCACACUCAAGUUUGUCUCAGUCAACAACCCUUGUUGUCGGACUCAACCUUGAUCACGGAAGGCCCUGCCUCAACGUCAUUCUUGCGCUUCUUGAGCUCUCAGCCCCUCUUCCAGUACCACUCUGCCUCGUAUUGGACAUACUCGUGCUCCCUCACGAACCUCGCCAUCCUCACCUUAUCAGUCUCCCGAAUGUUGACUCGCUCGUCGAAAACGGUCCGUGGCUUCGCCGGUUGGGACACAAUGGUCAUCUUUGGCCUGACGAACUCCGGUUUGAUCCGGGACUGCACCUCCGGGAAGUUGAGCUUGGAGAGCCUCCACGAUGCGAUGUCAUAGGCGCAUGCCGCUUCGUUAGCUGACUCGUAGGUUUCAAGCCAGUACCGCCGUCCGGCAUGCUGGAAGUCGACGUCAAACCGGCCGAACACCCGCGGCCGCACUCCCAUGAAGCGCUUCGGCAACAUGGUGGCUGCAUCGCAGAUCGGCGGCAUCGAGGGCGGAGGGAAGGAUGUUGCGCGUUGACGGGGUGCGAGCUGGCCGGAUGCAGUAGUGGAGGAGCAGCCAGAGGCACGGUGGAGGUGUGGCGGUGGGCAAAGGAGGAGGUGUGACGGUGGUGGAGGAGGAUGUCGACGGCGGUGGACGAACAACCAAUUGGGCUAGGGAGGCAGCGGAUCUAGGUGGUGGGAGGUGCGGCGGUGUUGGUGGUGGCCGGAUCCAGUCGGAAUCGGCCGGAUUCAAUGCGGCGGCGGCAGGAUUUGGCUUCGGGAAGGAGACAGUUGGGCGGCGGGAGGUGGGUUUGAGUUUUUGGGCAGCAACCUUCGUGCCGCAUAUAUGCAGCCGGCUUGCCCAAAAACGUUUUUGACCAGGUUAGUUUUUGGGCAGCUGUUGGAGACGUUUUUUGUUUUUGCCCACCAAAAGCCAAAAAAGACUGUUGCCCUAUAAUAGGGCAGCUGUUCGAGAUGCUCUAAUCUCUCCCUAGCCCGAACAAAUUGCCCCAAACGAACUGACUAGGGUCCCCAUCGGGGGAUUGCCGGACUGCUUAUUCACAUAACGCUGCAACACCUCAUACAUUAUAGUGGCAUGAAGCAAGUGAUACAUCAACUUCGGAUUGAAACCAACUGUUUUGAAUGUCAGUAUGUGUCCCAAAUGAAGAGAUCUUGUCUGCCUCUAAACAGGAUGGCCGCUUGACUGCUGCCCACUAAUUUAUGAUGAAGACGCCAUUUUAUCUUGAUAAAUAACCAUUGCAAACACCAAACAGAAACAAGAACACAGAAGUUUGAAGUGCACCGGAAUAGUAAAUUAGUAGGUAUAUUCACAUAGGGAAAAAAUGCCAAUACCUAUAUAGUUAUUAUCUUUCCGUGAUAUUGUUCUGCCGAUUUCCUUCAUCCUUUGUAUUGUUCUACAAAAGAAUACAUCAACCUCAUGGAUUUGCUCUGCGCUGCAUCAAAUUAGGGACUAAUCAUACGUUCAAAUCUCCAAAAUUCACCGCAAGAACAUUCACAUAAUGCACGCUUUGCAUGUGUUUGUUACAGUUUAUUCUUUGACACAACUACUACCAAUUGUACAAAUUCAGAAUAUUCAGUAGUAUAUAUUCAGUACUUUUUGUAAGUAUGGGUUAUUCACUUACUUUCACGUAUUAUUCCAAAAAAAUAAAAAAACUUAGCUGGCUGGAGGAAAUUUAAAUUUGAGAGCUACAUGGCACCUUCUUUCAUUUGCUAGAGAAGAACAAAAGUAUUCAUGGGCGACUACUGGUCAAACUGAAACAGCUUUAGCCUGUGCCAGUAACUUCUUCUAAUAUACAAACUGGUGUAUUUUUAUGUAGCUAAAUAUGAAACACCUGCUAAGACAUUCAGGACUGAAAAUCACACUUCUAUUGACAGUAAAGGUUGACUGAUAACAUGUGCUACAGCUAUACAUAUCAUUUCUAUCUCAGGAACAAACUCGCAGUAUAUAUGAUCAUGUGAAAAACAAAGUGUAGCAUACAUGAGAUUUGCUGAAAGGAUAAUUUUGUAAUAAAUAUUUAAUUCUUAAAGGUAACUGCUGAGUACCUGCCAUCAAGAAUCAGUACAAUGUUCUGAGCACCAAAAGUUAAGAUGUAAGACUUCUGGUAAAUCGAUCCAAGCAAAUGACCACUCUGAGCUGAAAUACUUCGGCAGAAUCCCCUGAGAAAUUCAGCAAGAAUAUGUUAAUGCCUUGAGUAAUUGAAUUCUUUGGGAUGCCACAAUUUUCUUUCGAAUACCAAUAGCAGAGCAGUAGUUUGUGUGUUUUUAUGUUUUCAGUCACCACUUCACGUCAUCAUAUGAAAUCGAGAAUAAUGUUAAUUCUUCUAUCUUAGCUAAUUUCCUGGAAAAGCUAGACUUGUCUCUUUUAUCACAUCAUUACAUAAGCAGCAUGCAAAAUGGCAGAAAUUGUGCAUCCAGUUACUUGUUCUAUGAACGGCUCAUUUGGACAAAGCAUUGGGCGAAUGUAGUAAACCACAGAGACAUUUUUGCUUGUUAAAUUAGCCCCUAAUUUAAAUUUAUGCCAAAAGCUUGAUCCUAACAGUGUACCUACUAAGAGUUACUUAUGAUUAUAUCCCAGAUUUAGGCCACAUCCUAACCGUGUACAUACAGGAGCCUUUGAGUUGCAAUACAUACAGGAGCCUUUGAGUUGCAAUUUAGCUCAAACCCGUGAUUAUGUAUGUCUUUAGAUAUCAAACUUCACCAGCAGGUGCACCACCGGUCCCAAAAGAGGGGCGAUGAGGGAGGGGACUCGCUCAGGGGAGAUCAGGGGCUGGGGAUGCGGAGGGAGGGAACCUGUAUCGAGGCCCGCGGCAGCGAGGGUGGCAGCGGACGAUGGCCUGGAGCUCGGUGGCGAAGAAGAAGCCGUCGUGGUCCACCGCGGGGGUUCCCCAUAUUCAUCUCACCGGCGUCCUUCAGCGCCAUCCGGGCGAGCACGGGGUGGGCCGGGUCUCCACGGCGCGGAACGGGAUCCCGGGGGCAUCCGGGAUGGAGCCCAUCCCGAACUGCACGGCACCGGUGCGGCGGGGGCAGGGAUGAAGUUCGCGUCGGUGCGGGCCCAACGGGGGCGAGAGGCGCUGGCUCUUGGAAAGGCAACCGCCACCCAUGGCCAUCGCUGCCGACGAGUAGGAGGAGAGAGUGGGCGGUGAGAGCUGGGAG